GGAAGCUGUGCAGACAAGUGACUGUCUCACAGCAUUCCCCUGUCACGUACCGCCUGCUUGCUCAAAUCAAUCACGACCCUUUCAUGUGAAAUCUUUAGUGUUGUGAGCCCUUAAAAGGAACAGAAAUUGUGUAUUCAGGGAGCUCAGAUUUGAAGGCAGUAGCUUGCCGAUGCUCCCAGCUGAAUAAAGCCCUGCCUUCUACAACUCAGUGUCUGAGAGGUUUUGUCUGCGGCUCACCCUGCUACAUUUCUUGGUUCCCUGACUGGGAAACGAGGUGACUGACGGAUGGCCGAGGCAGCCCCUUAGGCGGCUUAGGCCUGCCCUGUGGAGCAUCCGUGAGGGGAACUCCGGCCAGCCUGAGUGACGUGAUCCAAAGAGCGCUCCCGGGUAGGCAAUUGCCCCAAUGGAACGCCUUGCCAGAGCAGCGUGUAGCAGGCCCCCACGGAAGAUUAACACAGUGGCUGAACACCAGGAAGGAACUGGCACUUGGAGUCCGGACAUCUACAACUUGGCCCAACCACCGAGACCACCCUUAAACAUCAGUAGACUGGGAGCUGUACGUGGAUGGGAGCAGCUUUGCCAACCCUUGCAAAGUGACUCUGAAGAAGACGACAAGCCUUGUUCCGGUCACACCCGGAAGCUGACUGGUUCACGCAUGGCCGAAGCAUGAGGAAACUCAUCGCGGGAAUAAUUUUCCUUAAAAUUUGGACUUGUACAGUAAGGACUUCAACUGACCUUAUGCUAAGCUGCCUGAUCAGUGGACAGGUAGCUGUGUAAUUGGACAGGUAGCUGUGUAAUUGGCACCAUUAAGCCAUCUUUCUUCUUACUGCCAAUAAAAACAGGUGAACUUCUAGGCUUCCUAGUCUAUGCUUCCCGUGAAAAAUGAAGCAUAGCCAUAGGUGAUUAGAAAAUAAUGAAUGGCCCCCUGAAAGAAUCAUACAAUACUAUAGACCCACCACUUAGGCACAAGAUGGCUCAUGAGGAUAUCGAACCCCCAUCUACAUGCUCAACCGAAUCAUACAGUUACAAGCGGUUUUAGAAAUUAUUACUAAUAAAACCGGUCAAGCCUUGACUGUUCUUGCCCGGCAAGAGACUCUGAUGAGAAAUUUUAUCUAUCAAAAUAUACUAGCUCUUGACUACUUGCUAGCAGCUGAAGGAGAAGUUUGUAAAAAAUUUAACCUUACUAAUUGUUGUCUACACAUAAAUGAUUAAGGGCAAGUAGUUAAAAAUAUAGUUAAAGAUAUAACAAAACUGGCACAUGUACCCAUGCAAGUGUGGCAUGGGCUCAAUCCGGGAGCCAUGUUUGCAAAUUGGUUCCCAGCAAUGAAAAAAUUUAAAACUCUUAUAAUAAGAGUAAUAAUAGUAAUAGAAACCUGCUUACUGCUCCUUUGUCUGAUACCUGUAUUUCUCCAAAUGAUAAAAAACUUUGUCACGACCUUAGUUCACCAAAAUGCUUUAGCAGAAGCAUACUAUAUAAAUCACUAUCAAUCUAUUGCACAAAAAGACAUAAGUAGCAAAAAUAAGACUCAGAACUCCCACUAAUAAAAACUGAGAGUCUCAAAGGGGGGAAAUGAGGGAAGAGAGAGAGACCCUCUCAUAUUGUUUUAUAUUGUUUUAUACUCAGUACCUCUUUUAAGAAAAAGUGACAAGGAAGUAAAACCAAAGACAGGCAGCCUGGUGCCAGGCCUGAAACCAGGCCUGGGCCUGUCUGGCCUAAACCCAGUAGUUAAAAAUCAACUCAUAACUUAGAAACUGAUGUUAUUCAUAGAUUCCAGACAUUGUAUAGAAGAACAUUGUGAAACUCCCUGCCCUGUUCUGUUUCUCUCUGACCACUGGUGCAUGCAGCCCCUGUCAUGUACCGCCUGCUUGCUCAAAUCAAUCACGACCCUUUCAUGUGAAAUCUUUAGUGUUGUGAGCCCUUAAAAGGGACAGAAAUUGAGUAUUUGGGGAGCUUGGAUUUUAAGGCAGUAGCUUGCUGAUGCUCCCAGCUGAAUAAAGCCCUUCCUUCCACAACUCAGUGUCUGAGAGGUUUUGUCUGCAGCUCAUCCUGCUAUAAAACCAGCUCUGCUCAUGCUUCCAGCCCCAGCUCAAGAAUCUCCCUGCCUUGAAGCCUUCCCUGGCCCCUGGUACAGGUAGUGUUAAUGCAUGCUGUGACCUUUACCUCAGCCUGUUGUUUCCCACUGGAUAGUGAGCUGCUGGAGACUCAAGACCUGAGCCCAGGGGAAAUGAUGGGCAGGAUCCCUGUGGGUAGGGGCAGGCCAUGUGGGCCUGUUGCACCUUUAUGCGUGGUCGGGCCUCUCUGGUCAGCUCUGAGCAGUGCAGAGCUCUGCAAUGUCUUGGGUGUGCUGAAGGUCCACUGUGACACCUGCCCACCUGGCCCCAGCAAGCUGUCAUCCGGAAGGUCAGACUUGAG
rnacentral:lncRNA from 1 species